CCUGGCUCCAGGAUCCCCCUUCCCACUGGGAACAACUGCUCUGAGCCUUUUGUGCAGCUCUUGUAGAGACUUGGGGCCCACUCUUCAGUGGAUGCCAUGGAUUUGAAAAGCACUGGGGACAAUUGUGGGCAUCAAACUUCAUUUCCUGAAUGGCCUAAGCAGUGCACUCCCCUGUGAACUGCUGCUGCAAGCCAUUAACAUCUGGAUGAACGAAUCUAUCUUGCAGAAGUGCUUCUGAAUAUUUAAAUCCCAGCUUAAUAUAUUGAAGGAGGAAAC